ACGAACGCUGGCGGCCUGCUUAACACAUGCCAGUCGAACGAUUAUUUUUCCCUAUGGAUUAGUGGCGAACGGGUGAGGAACACGUGAAGAAUCUGCCCUCCACUUUGGGAUAACUCCGGGAAACCGGGGCUAAUACCGAAUAUUGAAACAUAUGUGGCAUCAGUGAUUUUUGAAAGAAUUUCCGUGGAGGAUGACUUCGCGGCCUAUCAGCUUGUUGGUGAGGUAAUGGCUCCCCAAAGCAACGACGGGUAGCCGGCCUGAUAGGGCGACCGGCCCCACUGGGACUGAGACACGGCCCAGACUCCUACGGGAGGCAGCAGUGGGGAAUAUUGGGCAAUGGACGCAAGUCUGACCCAGCGACGCCGCGUGCGGGAUGAAGGCCUUCGGGUUGUAAACCGCUUUCAACAAGGUAGAAGCGAAUAUGACGGUGCCUGCAAAAGAAGCACCGGCUAACUAUGUGCCAGCCCCCGCGGUUAUACAUAGGGUGCAAGCGUUGUCCGGAAUUAUUGGUCGUAAAGAGCUCGUAGGUCGUUAGUUACGUCGGUGGUGAAAAUCUGGGGCUCAUCCCCUGACCUGCACUCGAUACGGGCUAACUAGAGUUUGGUAGGGUAGACUGUAAUUCCUGGUGUAGCGGUGGAAUGCGGAAUAUCAUGAGGAACACCAAUGGCCAAGGCGGUCUCUGGGCCAGUACUGACACUGAGGAUUUAAAGCGCGAGCACCCUACACGAUUAGAUACCCUGGUAGUCCGUGCCUUAUUCUUGAGCGCUACUUCUGGGACCUUCCAUGGUCUCUGCGAGGCACUGACGCUUAAGAGCCCCGCCUGAGAGUACGAUCGCA
rnacentral:rRNA from 1 species